rnacentral:rRNA from 1 species
CCGGAGCUUGCUCCACCGGAAAAAGAAGAGUGGCGAACGGGUGAGUAACACGUGGGUAACCUGCCCAUCAGAAGGGGAUAACACUUGGAAACAGGUGCUAAUACCGUAUAACAAUCGAAACCGCAUGGUUUUGAUUUGAAAGGCGCUUUCGGGUGUCGCUGAUGGAUGGACCCGCGGUGCAUUAGCUAGUUGGUGAGGUAACGGCUCACCAAGGCCACGAUGCAUAGCCGACCUGAGAGGGUGAUCGGCCACAUUGGGACUGAGACACGGCCCAAACUCCUACGGGAGGCAGCAGUAGGGAAUCUUCGGCAAUGGACGAAAGUCUGACCGAGCAACGCCGCGUGAGUGAAGAAGGUUUUCGGAUCGUAAAACUCUGUUGUUAGAGAAGAACAAGGAUGAGAGUAACUGUUCAUCCCUUGACGGUAUCUAACCAGAAAGCCACGGCUAACUACGUGCCAGCAGCCGCGGUAAUACGUAAGUGGCAAGCGUUGUCCGGAUUUAUUGGGCGUAAAGCGAGCGCAGGCGGUUUCUUAAGUCUGAUGUGAAAGCCCCCGGCUCAACCGGGGAGGGUCAUUGGAAACUGGGAGACUUGAGUGCA